CAAGGUUGGUUCUGUCUUACAAAGGGAAAGGCGUUGUUUUUUAUUCCACAUUUUCAGCUGACUGACGGUCCGUCCUGUGUUUUUAUUUUUUUCUUUUUUUUUAAUUUUCUUCGGAUUUUCUUAUCAAAGAUGCGAAGAAAAGUUUUCAAAAGAAAAAUAGACACUUUCGGUUGAAGGAAGAUGUGCUGAAGUAAUAUUAAAAGAAGAAAAACCGCUUUAAGCAGUUGAGAGAAGACAUUUUGAAAAACAGCUCCGAGCUGCAAGUCAUUUAAAAAUCGUCCGAGAAAGGACACAAGGACUCAAUGCAAAAGAAUUCUGUUCGCUUGAUUGGAACGUGUAAUUCCAAGCUUUGAGCUGCUGAAAAAAAUGUUCAAUAACUUUACACGAUUCUCUUGAAAUUUUUAAUUUGCGCCAGUCUAAUUUGCUAAUUGCUGCCAUCCUUACGACCUCAUCAAUCAGGACGAAUGGUAAAAACGAAGCAAUCAAGCGGAAUUUAGCUGUCGCCUAUAAACUUUGAGUGCAUUUCGAACAAAUAUUGCAACAUUUCCGCGAAACCUGCAGCUCCAUAAAUUAAAUAUCUGAAGAAAAAGUCCAUCAAAUUUCGCAAGUGAGCUCCGAACGGAAUCAUCCCUUUAAUAUAUGCACACAUACAGUAAUAAAAUAAAAGGGAUUGUUCGUAUAGAAAAUCCCACUUUACCCUUAAUACUUUGAUUAA